UGCCCGGUAGCUCAACUGGAAGAGCGCCCGGCUGUUGACCGGGGCGUUGCAGGUUCGAUUCCUGCUCGGGCAG
rnacentral:tRNA from 1 species